CCAUUUCUUUGAACAAACCAGAGAUUUAUGAAAGGACGUCCCCAAAUCUACUUCAAGGGACAUUCGAAACCCUAAGCCCCAAAUCAAGAAUAUCAAUUACCCAACCAUUGUUGAUCACUCGACGAGCCAAGCCAAAGAGUGGAGAAACAACACCCAUUUCAUUUCAUUACAUUUACGUCGGAGCAGUUGAUGUGCAGAUGGAAGGUAAUUCCAAACCUUUUUUUUUUUUUUUUUAAAAUUUAGGUAUGAAGAGGUCAUUGUCUAAAGAUUUUGUAGUUGAUUCUAUGUGUAUUUUGUUGUUUCCCAUUACGCAUAAUCUGUCUUCGUAUCGUGUGGGGUUCUGAUUGUUAUAUACGGGUUAAUUUUUGUUCCAAAAUUUGUCAUAUUGAAAUCCAUCUGUGAGAUUGACUUUUCCCACACUUAUAUUGGCUGGAAAAAUUGCAAGAUGUUCAUUUUAAGACAGCACAAUGAAGCCACAUGUUGUCAUUUCGAGUAAUGCUAUUUAUCAUUAUGAUGAUAAAUCAGCUGGCAAUAUAGAUGGAGUAAUGGGAUUGGGUGGUUUAAUUUACAUGAGAGAAAGAUUUAAACCACCCAAUCCCAUUACUUCAAAUAUAUCGCCACAUCACCACUGAUUUAUCAUCAUGAUGAUAAACAACAUUAUUCAUUUCAAAUUGAUUAUCUAAAAGGCUUAAGAAAAGGAAAAUGGAGAAAAACUUAACAAAUGAAAAAGGGUUAAGUCAAUCGGUCAAGACCCCUCUUCCCCAUAACCUCCAUGUUCCCCUUCCAGCCAUCCUAAAAAAAAGUCAAUUGAACCAUCAGCUCCAAUACUAGAGAAUAAUGGCACUGUAAAUGCUGCAGAUAUUCUAGCUGAGUGGCUGUUGAAGAUUUCAUUUCAGAUCCAAACAUAAAUUAAAAUGUGGAUGAAAUUGAUGGUGGGUUGUGGUUGUAACUUGACAUUGUGAGAUGAUGUGUCUUAGAUGGUGUCUUGGGUUCUGACUUUUGAGGAAUGCUUUUGGAGGUGGGUGGUAUUGGUGUCGCAAGUAAAUGGGUAAAAUGAGUUUGACAGCCCAGGCCUUUAGCGGCUUGGUCCUUAUUUGCAUGAAUUGGUUGGCCCCUCUAGAACCUGAGCAAUGCUAGGCUUCCUUUUAAAUUUAUUUUUAUUUUUAAAGUUUGAGAGUUAAAUGUAUUGUUGCUUACUGUGGGCAUGUGGCUUAAUUGUAUGACAUAUUUUGAGGAAGAUCCCGACUUCGUAGAAUCCGACCAUGACUUUGAGUCCGAACAAGAUGACAACGAAUAUGAUAGACAUGUAGCUAAUGGAUUGAAAUAGGAUUGGACUACCAUCAAGAUGAAGUUCAGGACCAACGAGAAGAGGGUGGUGAUAACGAGUUGGAUGAAUUGGAACUACCGUAGUCAAAGGAACUGCUCUCCCAACGUUCAUUGCAUUUAAGGAGCAGAUUUUUCAGGGGAUCUAUAUAUGCUUCAAUGACUAUAAGAUAGGAUUCAAGGAUGGUUGUCGGAAGGUUGUAGGUGUUGAUUGUAAUUGUGUGUACAAAGCUUGUAAUCGUGAAGUGUUAAAGUAUGCCCCUAUAUGUAUCUAUUAACAAGUUUGAACAAUUGAGAAAUUUAUGUUUUUGGUUUUGGAA
rnacentral:lncRNA from 1 species